rnacentral:rRNA from 1 species
UACGGAGGGUGCAAGCGUUAUCCGGAUUCACUGGGUUUAAAGGGUGCGUAGGUGGGGUGUUAAGUCAGUGGUGAAAUCUCCGAGCUUAACUUGGAAACUGCCAUUGAUACUAUUAGUCUUGAAUACCGUGGAGGUUAGUGGAAUAUGUCAUGUAGCGGUGAAAUGCUUAGAUAUGACAUAGAACACCCAUUGCGAAGGCAGCUGGCUACACAUAUAUUGACACUGAGGCACGAAAGCGUGGGGAUCAAACAGG